rnacentral:rRNA from 1 species
CGAGUGGCGGACGGGUGGAGUAAUGUCUGGGAAACUGCCUGAUGGAGGGGGAUAACUACUGGAAACGGUAGCUAAUACCGCAUAACGUCGCAAGACCAAAGAGGGGGACCUUCGGGCCUCUUGCCAUCGGAUGUGCCCAGAUGGGAUUAGCUAGUAGGUGGGGUAACGGCUCACCUAGGCGACGAUCCCUAGCUGGUCUGAGAGGAUGACCAGCCACACUGGAACUGAGACACGGUCCAGACUCCUACGGGAGGCAGAUG